CUGCUGCCAGGAUCCCAGGCUAGAUGAACUUCACAGCUGGAAAGCAGGAGGGGCAAACCUCUGCACCACUCCACAAGCAGAAUGGAAGAACAGCACACGCCCACUAGCUCUGCUUAGUGCCAAGUUCUCUUCCACACUGGGUACCGGAAGGAGGAGGUGGAAAAAGCCAGUCAGGACUGCUUGCUCAGCAUCAUGCAGUGAACAGGUGAUCCAUGGGGCACGUGGUCCUUUGGCCAGGAUCUCAUGUGUGACACCGUCCUGUGAGUCUCCUCAUUCCCCAUCACAUCAGCUACCAGGAGCUACCAUUCUUUUCCCCACGGUGUUCCUUGCAUCCACCCAGCCCAUUCCAUUCAGGGUCUCUUGCCUCGUGGGUACCUGGACCACCACCGCAGGGUGGAAUAAAAGGUGCUGUCUGUGAUCUGGCAGGGUUGGUCCAGUUCUGCUGCAUACCACAGUAAGAAAUUUAGACCUCCCUUUUACUUGCUUGGUUUCAAUUUUCUAGUGGCAAUGAAAAACAAAUGAACCCCUUGAUUAUCUUUAGUUUGUUUAACUGUAAAAAUCCUGUAAUAAAGUACCACUGUG
rnacentral:lncRNA from 1 species